rnacentral:rRNA from 1 species
GACGAACGCUGGCGGCGCGCUUAACACAUGCAAGUCGAACGGAAAGGCCUGCUUUCCCUUGUGGAUUGCGGGUACUCGAGUGGCGAACGGGUGAGUAACACGUGAGUGAUCUGCCCCCAACUUGGGUAUAAGCCUGGGAAACUGGGUCUAAUUCCCGAUAGGACUGCAGGGUGGUGCCUGUGGUGGAAAACGAUUUUCUAGUGGUUGGGGAUGAGCUCGCGGCCUAUCAGCUUGUUGGUGAGGUAAUGGCCUACCAAGGCGGCGACGGGUAGCCGGCCUGAGAGGGUGGACGGCCACAUUGGGACUGAGAUACGGCCCAGACUCCUACGGGAGGCAGCAGUGGGGAAUAGUGCACAAUGGGCGGAAGCCUGAUGCAGCGACGCCGCGUGGGGGAUGACGGCCUUCGGGUUGUAAACUCCUUUCGACCGCGAGGAAGCCACCUGGUUGGAAGGGUGGUGACGGUAGUGGUAGAAGAAGCACCGGCUAACUACGUG